UAGUAAAAAUUUGGCAAGAUGCAGUUUUAAACGUAUUAUUUGAAUUAUGGAAACCAUAUACGUAAAACUCUUCAUAAAACUGAUAGCGAUUAAUUACCAAAUCAAAAAGAGUUCAUUCUCAUUUAAACAAUUAAUAACUCAAUUAUAACUCAUUUACAACAACGAAAGAAAGAGACAAUAGCCCGAUAGGCCCAUGUUGUUAAUUAAACAACUCGUACAGAUUUUCCAAGAAAAGGAAAAAUAAAAACGAUUCGAAGAAGUAGAAUGUAGAAGACGUUUACCCGCUUGAUCAGGGCCGGCUAUGUUUUGACGCAUCAUCACCUCCGAUUCUCCUACCUAUAUCUCAGGUGUUAUAGAGACUUAAGAGUUUAUGUGAUAGGAACCAAGGGUAAGUUGAAGAUCUGAGUAGCUAUGAGAUCCAAAAGCUACUUCAGGUUCUUACUAAUUAUUAGUGGUUUUCUAAUGAUUUUACGCACUCCAGCAUCCAUAAUGAAUCAGCAACAAUGGCUACAGAAGUAGAGUUAUAGAAAUUGUCAAGGAGAAUAGCUCAUUCUUGAAGUGGACUUCAAAUGGCAAAUAAAUUGCACAGAUGGCUGACGACGUAAGCUGUUUUUUGUUUGUGGAAUCUUUCUUUUUUUGGUCCUUUUUCAUACAUAUAUCCGAUGAGAACUAUCUAUUCUUCUAGAUUUUAGUCAUAUAAUUAAACUGGCUUCUAUGUUUUCGAGGGAUCUCUCAAUGGAGUUCAUAUAUGAGAAGAGAUGUGUAGGCCAACCGCAGAGACAAAAUUUUCAUCUUUACAGACGUGCCUAAGGUGUUGUGCCAUCACCGAUACAUAUUAGCCACUUCGCAAAAUCUUUUUCCGCUUGGUCCAGCCUCAUAUUUUUCUCGAGAGUGAAUAUAGAGCAAUAAUUCCAUAAAUAUGAACGGUUGAUUGUUGCCAUAACAGUUUCUUGUCUGGUGCCUUGUGGUAUGACUGGCAGAAUUUGUCUAAAAUCACCACCAAGAAGCACCGUUUUUCCGCCAAAGGGUUUGCUUGCUGCAUCUGGAUCAGCUACUGAGAGUACAUCUCUCAAACUCUUAUCAAGAGCUUCAAACGCAAAUCGAUGGCACAUAGGCGCUUCAUCCCAAAUGAUGAGAUCUGUUUUUUACUACCGUUCGACGAUAGGAACGCUUUUUGUUAAGCUGAUCUACUGUUAUGUAAUCUUUGUUAGUAUGUUGAACUUGUGUCUUCAUCUUUUGUUUGAUGAUAGCUAUUCUGAAAA